rnacentral:lncRNA from 1 species
UAUAACGGGAAUAAGUCUACUUCAGUCACUAUACAGUACUAUAACGGGAAGAUAAGGUGCUAUAUCAGUCCAUAUAACGAGGAAUAAGGUGCUAUAUCAGCACUAUACAGUCAUUAUAUCAGUCACUAUAUCAGUCUAUAUCAGUCACUAUAUCAGUCUCUAUAACGAGGAAUAAGGUGCUAUAUCAGUCACUAUCAGUCACUAUAACGAGGAAUACAGUGCUAUAUCAGUCACUAUAUCCAGUCUCUAUAUCAGUCUCUAUAUCAGUCACUUAUAACAGUCACUAUAUCAGUCACUAUAUCGUCUCUAUAUCAGUCUCUAUAUCAGUCACAAUCAGUCCCAAUCAGUCUAUAUAUCAGUCACUAUAUCAGUCUCUUAUCAGUCUCUAUAUCAGUCACUUUCAGUCACAUCCGUCUCUAUCCAGUACAAUCAUCUCUAUCAGCACUCAUCAGUCUACUAUUCAGUCAUCUAUAUCGGUCUCUAUAUCAAAUCAUUAUCAAUCUCUAUAUCAGUCACUAUAUCAGUCUCUAUCAGUUCACAUCCGUCUCUAUAUCAGUCACCAUAUCAGUCUCUAUAUCAGCCACUCUAUCAGUCACUAUAUCAGUCAUUAUAUCAGUCUCUAAUCAAUCAUGAUCAAUCUCUAUAU